AAGACUAUACUUUCAGGGAUCAUUUCUAUAGUCACUCACUAGGAAAUGUGAUUUGAAAGUGUUGUGUCUCGCUAAUCACAAUGAUGAGUUAUAAUGUACUCUUCUGAGCAUGAAUCAGGUUCUAGUUUAUGAUUCUUUCAUAGGCUUUAACCCUUGAUGAGUGUUCUCUGUUUCUUAUGAAGCACGAGUAGAGGAGUAUAUACUCUGAGUGAU